rnacentral:rRNA from 1 species
GACAGAGGGUGCAAACGUUGCUCGGAAUCAUUGGGCGUAAAGGGCGUGUAGGCGGGAAGGAAAGUCAGAUGUGAAAUCCCCAGGCUCAACCUGGGAACUGCAUUUGAAACUCCCUUUCUUGAGUACCGGAGAGGAAAGUGGAAUUCCUGGUGUAGAGGUGAAAUUCGUAGAUAUCAGGAGGAACACCAGUGGCGAAGGCGGCUUUCUGGACGGUAACUGACGCUGAGACGCGAAAGCGUGGGGAGCAAACAGG